rnacentral:snoRNA from 1 species
AUGAGAUCACAUAUUUAAAAUGUUCCUGUGGGGCCCAGUGUACAUUGGCUGCCGACAGCGAGCGGCUCCUGGGUAGUGCAUACAGCCUGUGACUUGUACGGGCUUUGAUAAGGGACCCUGGAGACUGUC